GUGGACAUGUUGGCGAAGGCUUGCAGGUUUGAAGGCCGGAUGCUCUCGAUGCUUUCCUCGGAGUCCCCCUUCAUGGUUGCAGUUUGGGGACUAAAGUGGGCACCUGAUCGUUUCACGCCAUGGCAUUGGCAUGGCAGGAGAAAACAGUCCUGCCCGACUAAUUUGGAGCCUUCAACACCAUCAUCAUUGAGCUCGGGGCCCCGGGUCUGAACGCCGCCCUGUGCAACUGGGUCCUGGGCUUCCUGACGGGCCGCACCCCGUGCGGGGAAGGUAGGCAACAACCCAUCCACUACGCUGAUCCUCAACACAAGGGCCUCACAAGGGUGCGUACUCAGCCCCCUCCUGUACUCCCUGUUCACCCAUGACUGUGUGGCCACGCACGCCUCCAACUCAAUCAUCAUGUUUGCAGACAACACAACAAUGGUAGGCCGGAUUACCAACAACGACGAGACAGCCUACAGGGAAGAAGUGAGGGCCCUUGCUGAGUGGUGCCAAGAAAAUAACACUCAAUGUCAACAAAACAAAGGAGCUGAUCGUGGACUUCAGGAGACCGCAGAGGGAGCACGCCCCCAUCAACAUCGACGGGGCCGCAGUGGAGAAGGUGAAAAGCUUCAAGUUCCUCGGUGUACACAUCAGUGGCAAUCUGAAAUGGUCCACCCACGCAGACAGUGUGGUGAAGAAGGCGCAACAGCUUAAGGAGGCUGAAGAAAUUCAGCUUGGCUCCUAAGUCCCUCAAACUUUUACAGAUGCACCAUUUAGAGCAUCCUGUCAGGCUGUAUUACCGGCUGGUACGGCAACCGCAGGGCUCUCCAGACAGUGGCGCGGUCUGCCCAAUGCAUCACCGGGGGUACACUGCCUGCCCUCCAGGACAUCUACAGCACCUGUUGUCACAGGAAGUCCAAGAAAAUCAUCAAGGACCUCAGCCACCUGAGCCACGGCCUGUUCACCCCGUUAUCAUCCAUAACGCGAGGUCAGUACAGGUGCAUCAAAGAUGGGGCCGAGAAACUGAAAAACAGCUUCUAUUUUAAGUCCAUCAGACUGUUAAAUAGCCAUCACCACCCGGCCUCCACCCAGUACCCUGCCCUGAACUUAGUCACAGUCACUAGCAGGCUACCACCCGGUUACUCAACCCUGCACCUUAGAGGCUGCAGCCCUAUGUACAUAGACAUGGAACACUGGUCACUUUAAUAAUGUGUACAUAUUGUUUUACCCAUUUCAUAUGUAUACUGUAUUCUAGUCAAGGCCAUCCUAUUCAACUAUUGCUGUAAAUAUGCUAUUAUAUCCUACGUAUUAUUCAGAUACACUACAUAUAAUCUAUCCACAUACUGUCAAUACUCCGCCAUUGUUCAUUCUAAUAUUUCUAUAUUCCUUAAUUCCAUACUUUUACUUUUAUAUGUGUGUGUAUUGUUAGAUUGUACUACACUGUUGGAGCUAGGAACACAAGCAUUUCGCUACAACCGCAAUAACAUCUGCUAAAUACUGUAUGUGUACGUGACCAAUAGAAUUUGAUUUGAGCAGACCACAGAUAAUACACAACAGUUGUUUACAGUAACCUUGCUGUUUUUACAACUGUGCAAAUCCUGGCAAAGCGCUAUUUCCCCCACACACUAAAUGAUGACCAUAAGCUCAGUGGUACUGUACAACCACACUGCAAACCCAAGACUGGAAAUAACCAUGAUAGCCUACCUACAUUAUUUGCAUGCAAUAGUAAGAAAUGUGUACCUUGUAUGAUUGCAUGCUGUUUUGGUGUCUCUUGAACUACAGGAAUAGUCCAAUGAUAGAUAACAAAAAUAUUCAGCCAAUUUGCAAUGCUGAAAAUGUAAUUUUCAUACAAAUUAUACACAAUGUCAAGGACCAUUAUGCACUGUGACCACUAUCGCCAUUGUACAAGAAAAAUGAAUUAUCACUUACUACACAAUCUGAACCACUUGAGGUGAUAAUGACUGUUAUUGAUGCAAUGCUUAUUAAUGCGUACAAAGCUGGUGCACGCGCGACACCCAGUGGAAUGCGCAUGAAUGACAGACUGAUUUGUAUAUCUGCCAAAAUAGAAAUAUAUGCAGGACACCACGUGAGCUGUCGACUAAUUAAAAUAAAAUGAUGGCGAAGGCUU